GACGAACGCUGGCGGCGUGCCUAAUACAUGCAAGUCGAACGGUGAAGCAGGAGCUUGCUUCUCUGGAUGAGUUGCGAACGGGUGAGUAACGCGUAGGUAACCUGCCCUGCAGUGGGGGAUAAGUAUUGGAAACGAUAGCUAAUACCGCAUAAUAGUAGAUGUCGCAUGACAUUUGCUUAAAAUUUGCAAUUUCAUCACUACCAGAUGCCCCUGCGUUGUAUUAGCUAGUUGGGGAGGUAACGGCACACCAAGGCAACGGUACAUAGGCGACCUGAGAGGGAGGUCGGCCACACUGGGACUGGGGAACGGCCCAGAAUCCUACGGGAGGCAGCAGUAGGGAAUCUUCGGCCAUGGAGGGAAGGCUGACCGAGCAACGCCGCGUGAGUGGAGAAGGGUCUCGGGUCGGAAAGCUCUGUUGUAAGGGAAGAAAGAGUGUGAGAGUGGAAAGUUCACACUGUGAUGGUAUCUUACGAGAAAGGGACGGCUAACUACGUG
rnacentral:rRNA from 1 species